UACGUAGGGUGCAAGCGUUAAUCGGAAUUACUGGGCGUAAAGCGUGCGCAGGCGGCUUUGCAAGACAGAUGUGAAAUCCCCGGGCUUAACCUGGGAACUGCAUUUGUGACUGCAUUGCUGGAGUGCGGCAGAGGGGGAUGGAAUUCCGCGUGUAGCAGUGAAAUGCGUAGAUAUGCGGAGGAACACCGAUGGCGAAGGCAAUCCCCUGGGCCUGCACUGACGCUCAUGCACGAAAGCGUGGGGAGCAAACGGG
rnacentral:rRNA from 1 species